CGCCUGUUUAUCAAAAACAUGUCUUCCAGGGUUUAAUUGGAGGUUUGGCCUGCUCAAUGCAUAGUAAAUAGCCGCAGUAUUUUGACUGUGCUAAGGUAGCAUAAUAAUUAGUCUUUUAAUUGGGGUCUAGGAUGAAGGGUUAGACGAGAAGUAAACUUUAUUAUCUUAAUUUUAUUUGAAUUUUAUUUUUUAGUAAAAAAGCUAAAUUGUUGAAGAGGGACGAUAAGACCCUAUAGAUCUUUAUUUUUUUCCAUUUUUUUUUAUUUUAGUUUAUUUUAGAUUUUUUUUGGUUAUAAAUUUUGCUGGGGUGGUAGAUAAAAUUUUAAUCUUUAUUUUUUUUUUACAUUUCUUUAUGUGAUUUUGAUCCUUUUUUUUGAUUAUAAGAUUAAGAUACCUUAGGGAUAACAGCGUGAUAAUUCUGGAGAGUUCAUAUUGAUAGAGUUGUUUGCGACCUCGAUGUUGGAUUAAAAAUUUCUGUGAGGCAGGUUUUACAGUUUAGGGUCUGUUCGACUUUAAAAUUUUACAUGAUCUGAGUUCAGACCGG
rnacentral:rRNA from 1 species